GGCUGGUCUGUACGUAGUGUUAUCUCGAUUGUUCACAGUCAGUUACAGAUUGAACUCCUUGUUUCCUCUUUCCCUCCUUCUCACUACUGCACUUGGCUAGUCUUAA
rnacentral:Y_RNA from 1 species